GAUGAACGCUGGCGGCGUGCCUAAUACAUGCAAGUCGAGCGAACAGACGAGGAGCUUGCUCCUCUGACGUUAGCGGCGGACGGGUGAGUAACACGUGGAUAACCUACCUAUAAGACUGGGAUAACUUCGGGAAACCGGAGCUAAUACCGGAUAAUAUAUUGAACCGCAUGGUUCAAUAGUGAAAGACGGUUUUGCUGUCACUUAUAGAUGGAUCCGCGCCGCAUUAGCUAGUUGGUAAGGUAACGGCUUACCAAGGCAACGAUGCGUAGCCGACGUGAGAGGGGGAUCGGCCACACGGGAACGGAGACACGGUCCAGACUCCUACGGGAGGCAGCAGUAGGGAAUCUUCCGCAAUGGGCGAAAGCUUGACGGAGCAACGCCGCGUGAGUGAUGAAGGUCUUCGGAUCGUAAAACUCUGUUAUUAGGGAAGAACAAAUGUGUAAGUAACUAUGCACGUCUUGACGGUACCUAAUCAGAAAGCCACGGCUAACUACGUG
rnacentral:rRNA from 1 species